AUUGAACGCUGGCGGAAUGCUUUACACAUGCAAGUCGAACGGCAGCAUAGGUGCUUGCACCUGAUGGCGAGUGGCGAACGGGUGAGUAAUACAUCGGAACGUGCCCAGUCGUGGGGGAUAACGUAGCGGAAGUUACGCUAAUACCGCAUACGAUCUAAGGAUGAAAGCGGGGGACCGUAAGGCCUCGCGCGAUUGGAGCGGCCGAUGUCAGAUUAGGUAGUUGGUGAGGUAAAGGCUCACCAAGCCGACGAUCUGUAGCUGGUCUGAGAGGGCGACCAGCCACACUGGGACUGAGACACGGCCCAGACUCCUAUGGGAGGCAGCAGUGGGGAAUUUUGGACAAUGGACGCAAGUCUGAUCCAGCCAUUCCGCGUGCAGGACGAAGGCCUUCGGGUUGUAAACUGCUUUUGUACGGAACGAAAAAGCUCUUACUAAUACUAGGAGUCCAUGACGGUACCGUAAGAAUAAGCACCGGCUAACUACGUGCCAGCCGCCGCAGUAA
rnacentral:rRNA from 1 species